rnacentral:rRNA from 1 species
GUGCCAGCAGCCGCGGUAAGACGAACCGAGCGAACGUUGUUCGGAAUCACUGGGCUUAAAGGGCGCGUAGGCGGGUGACUAAGUCUGUGGUGAAAUCCGGCAGCUUAACUGUCGAAUUGCCAUGGAUACUGGUUGUCUCGAGGGAGGCAGGGGUGCGCGGAACUAAUGGUGGAGCGGUGAAAUGCGUUGAUAUCAUUAGGAACUCCGGUGGCGAAGGCGGCGCACUGGUCCUCUUCUGACGCUGAGGCGCGAAAGCCAGGGGAGCAAACGGGAUUAGAUACCCCAGUAGUCC